rnacentral:rRNA from 1 species
GACGAGCGCUGGCGGCGUGCUUAACACAUGCAGGCCGAACGGUAAGGCCCUUCGGGGUACACGAGUGGCGAACGGGUGAGUAACACGUGGGUGAUCUGCCCUGCACUUCGGGAUAAGCCUGGGAAACUGGGUCUAAUACCGGAUAGGACCACUGCCUGCAUGGGUGGUGGUGGAAAGCUUUUGCGGUGUGGGAUGGGCCCGCGGCCUAUCAGCUUGUUGGUGGGGUGAUGGCCUGCCAAGGCGACGACGGGUAGCCGGCCUGAGAGGGUGACCGGCCACACUGGGACUGAGAUACGGCCCAGACUCCUACGGGAGGCAGCAGUGGGGAAUAUUGCACAGUGGGCGCAAGCCUGAUGCAGCGACGCCGCGUGAGGGAUGACGGCCUUCGGGUUGUAAACCUCUUUCAGCACCGACGAAGCGCAAGUGACGGUAGGUGCAGAAGAAGGACCGGCCAACUACGUGCCAGCAGCCGCCGUAA